UACGUAGGGUGCAAGCGUUAGCCGGAAUUAUUGGGCGUAAAGAGCUCGUAGGCGGUUUGUCGCGUCUGCUGUGAAAACUGGGGGCUCAACCCCCAGCCUGCAGUGGGUACGGGCAGACUAGAGUGCGGUAGGGGAGAUUGGAAUUCCUGGUGUAGCGGUGGAAUGCGCAGAUAUCAGGAGGAACACCGAUGGCGAAGGCAGAUCUCUGGGCCGUGAACUGACGCUGAGGAGCGAAAGCGUGGGGAGCGAACAGG
rnacentral:rRNA from 1 species